rnacentral:snRNA from 1 species
AUCGCUUCUCGGCGUUUUGGCUAAGAUCAAGUGUAGUAUCUGUUCUUAUCAGUUUAAUAUCUGAUACGUCCCCUACCCGUCCAAAUCCAAACUCAGGAGACAUCGGCACCGGGGGUGCCUUAUCCAUU